AUGAACGCUGGCGGCGUGCUUAACACAUGCAAGUCGAGCGAAGCAGUUAAGUUGAUUUCUUCGGAUUGAUUCUUGACUGACUGAGCGGCGGACGGGUGAGUAACGCGUGGGUGACCUGCCCCAUACCGGGGGAUAACAGCUGGAAACGGCUGCUAAUACCGCAUAAGCGCACAGAGCUGCAUGGCUCAGUGUGAAAAACUCCGGUGGUAUGGGAUGGGCCCGCGUCUGAUUAGGCAGUUGGCGGGGUAACGGCCCACCAAACCGACGAUCAGUAGCCGGCCUGAGAGGGCGACCGGCCACAUUGGGACUGAGACACGGCCCAAACUCCUACGGGAGGCAGCAGUGGGGAAUAUUGCACAAUGGGGGAAACCCUGAUGCAGCGACGCCGCGUGAGCGAAGAAGUAUUUCGGUAUGUAAAGCUCUAUCAGCAGGGAAGAUAAUGACGGUACCUGACUAAGAAGCCCCGGCUAACUACGUGCCAGCAGCCGCGGUAAUACGUAGGGGGCAAGCGUUAUCCGGAUUUACUGGGUGUAAAGGGAGCGUAGACGGCAAGGCAAGUCUGAUGUGAAAACCCAGGGCUUAACCCUGGGACUGCAUUGGAAACUGUCUGGCUCGAGUGCCGGAGAGGUAAGCGGAAUUCCUAGUGUAGCGGUGAAAUGCGUAGAUAUUAGGAAGAACACCAGUGGCGAAGGCGGCUUACUGGACGGUAACUGACGUUGAGGCUCGAAAGCGUGGGGAGCAAACAGGAUUAGAUACCCUGGUAGUCCACGCCGUAAACGAUGAAUGCUAGGUGUUGGGGAGCAAAGCUCUUCGGUGCCGCCGCAAACGCAUUAAGCAUUCCACCCGGGGAGUACGUUCGCAAGAAUGAAACUCAAAGGAAUUGACGGGGGCCCGCACAAGCGGAGGAACAUGUGGUUUAAUUCGAUGAUACGCGAGGAACCUUACCCGGGCUUGAAUUGCAACUGAAUGAUGUGGAGACAUGUCAGCCGCAAGGCAGUUGUGAAGGUGCUGCAUGGUUGUCGUCAGCUCGUGUCGUGAGAUGUUGGGUUAAGUCCCGCAACGAGCGCAACCCUUAUCCUCAGUAGCCAGCAGGUAAAGCUGGGCACUCUGUGGAGACUGCCAGGGAUAACCUGGAGGAAGGUGGGGAUGACGUCAAAUCAUCAUGCCCCUUAUGAUCUGGGCUACACACGUGCUACAAUGGCGUAAACAAAGGGAGGCAAAGCCGCGAGGUGGAGCAAAUCCCAAAAAUAACGUCUCAGUUCGGACUGCAGUCUGCAACUCGACUGCACGAAGCUGGAAUCGCUAGUAAUCGCGAAUCAGAAUGUCGCGGUGAAUACGUUCCCGGGUCUUGUACACACCGCCCGUCACACCAUGGGAGUUGGUAACGCCCGAAGUCAGUGACCCAACCUUUCAGGAGGGAGCUGCCGAAGGCGGGACUGAUAACUGGGGUG
rnacentral:rRNA from 1 species